UACGUAGGGGGCAAGCGUUGUCCGGAUUUACUGGGCGUAAAAGGCUCGUAGGUGGCUCGCCCAGUCGGGCGUGAAAUCUCCCGGCUUAACUGGGAGUGGUCGUUCGAUACUAGCGGGCUCGAGGCCGGUAGAGGGAAGCGGAAUUCCCGGUGUAGUGGUGGAAUACGUAGAUAUCGGGAGGAACACCAGUGGCGAAGGCGGCUUCCUGGACCGGUUCUGACACUGAGGAGCGAAAGCGUGGGGAGCGAUCCGG
rnacentral:rRNA from 1 species